GAUGAACGCUGGCGGCGCGCCUAACACAUGCAAGUCGAACGGCACCCACCUCCGGGUGGAAGCGAGUGGCGAACGGCUGAGUAACACGUGGAGAACCUGCCCCCUCCCCCGGGAUAGCCGCCCGAAAGGACGGGUAAUACCGGAUACCCCGGGGUGCCGCAUGGCGCCCCGGCUAAAGCCCCGACGGGAGGGGAUGGCUCCGCGGCCCAUCAGGUAGACGGCGGGGUGACGGCCCACCGUGCCGACAACGGGUAGCCGGGUUGAGAGACUGAUCGGCCACAUUGGGACUGAGACACGGCCCAA
rnacentral:rRNA from 1 species